UGAAAUUUGUAGGUUUGUUUAUGUUAUGAUUAUUUUUCUUUCCUUGUUUCUUGUUACAACGAAUGUUAAAGGUUGAUGGUCAUGUGUUCAAGUCCGACCCAUGCCAAUUUUCAAAACAUUUAAAAAAUAAUUGGAAGCAUGGUCAAAGGCUAACGUUGACUCGCCCGGUUUACAGAAACUAGUCGGUUCCCUUGUCGAGCGUGGUUUCUCUUCUUUCUUUGAAGGUUUUCCCAUGUUGCUUUGUAGUAUUUCUCCAUUCAUGAGUUUGUGUGAAAAUCUCAUGGGAAGAGUAUGAAUCAGCAAGCUCCAUGGGAGGUUGACAUUACACAAAGGGGAUUCACCAUUGACAACCAAAUCUCUCAAACUCAAGUUGAAUGAUUUCUUGCCAAGCCUAAAAAAAGGGAGGGACAUGCCUUCCUUGUUGCUAUCAAAUAUGAUUAGUAACCGUUGUAUUGUGCACACUACAAAAUCUUAGGCCAUGCCCUGCAAAAUGGUAAGAAAUUAAGCUCAAAGAAUUAUCAAAGCACUUAUAGGAUCAAGGUAGCUAAGAGACAUCAACCCAAUACUACUCAGACUGAUUUCACUGUUCCAGGGGGUAAGGUAGUGAAGCAAUCAUAGAUAAGUCAAAAGGUGGAUGCUCACAUCACUAGAGACACGCAGUGCUAGGACUCCUUUAUUUUGGUCAUUUAGGUUAUUGCUAGUUAAGUGUUUGAACUAUAGUUUUAUCUCUCACAUUGUUUUGUUUUGUUCUCAUAUUCAUAGAAGCAUUUUGUUUUAGGCACCAAUGGCCAUAGUUGGCCUGCUGAUUCUUUUUGUUGUAUUAAGAUUCAGGCAUCUUCCUGUUUUGCAAUUUAAUUUUUUCUCUCCUUAAUAAAAAAAAAAUUGUCCAAAACCAAAAAACACAUUUCAAUUAUUGGAAAACAUGAUAAAUUGCUCUUUAGGUAC
rnacentral:lncRNA from 1 species